CCUACGGGAGGCAGCAGUAGGGAAUAUUGCUCAAUGGGGGAAACCCUGAAGCAGCAACGCCGCGUGGAGGAUGAAGGUUUUCGGAUUGUAAACUCCUUUUGUUAGAGAAGAUAAUGACGGUAUCUAACGAAUAAGCACCGGAUAACUCCGUGCCAGCAGCCGCGGUAAUACGGAGGGUGCAAGCGUUACGCGGAAUCACUGGGCGGAAAGAGCGCGUAGGCGGGAUAGCAAGUCAGAUGUGAAAUCCUAUGGCUUAACCAUAGAACUGCAUUUGAAACUGUUAUUCUAGAGUAUGGGAGAGGUAGGUGGAAUUCUUGGUGUAGGGGUAAAAUCCGUAGAGAUCAAGAGGAAUACUCAUUGCGAAGGCGACCUGCUAGAACAUAACUGACGCUGAUGCGCGAAAGCGUGGGGAGCAAACAGGAUUAGAUACCCGGGUAGUC
rnacentral:rRNA from 1 species